rnacentral:rRNA from 1 species
UACGAAGGGGGCUAGCGUUGCUCGGAAUCACUGGGCGUAAAGCGCACGUAGGCGGCUUUUUAAGUCAGGGGUGAAAUCCUGGAGCUCAACUCCAGAACUGCCUUUGAUACUGAGAGGCUCGAGUCCGGGAGAGGUGAGUGGAACUGCGAGUGUAGAGGUGAAAUUCGUAGAUAUUCGCAAGAACACCAGUGGCGAAGGCGGCUCACUGGCCCGGUACUGACGCUGAGGUGCGAAAGCGUGGGGAGCAAACAGG